UGGCAGAGGCCCAGCUCUAUCAGUGGGAAAUCCGACAAAACUGUGUGGAACAUAUCCAUCUUGUACUUUUGAUUGGAUUAUUGGCUGCAAUGGCUGCAAUAUUUGGAAUAAUCAUCUGGAAAAGGCCCUGGAGAGGUUCAUCAAGUGGGACCUACACAACAGCUCCCAGUUGAACAGUGAAUCCCAGAUCCCCAGGUUUGGAUCCUGAUUCUUCAAGUGGGACCUUCUCAAGUCAUGUUUCCAUCCUGUCUCAGAAAUGUGAGCAGUGUCACCGUCAGAGGGAUCUUCACAGAUGGUUCCUCCCUCACACUUUCUCAUCUUCACUGUCUUCAGUGGGUCACUGAUUGACCUGAAAUGUAGCAACAUCCUGAACCCUCUUUGAGUGAGUUUUUGUAAUGCAGGAAGUGGAUCAAUUCUGCACUUUUUGUCAACAAUUGUUAGUGAUGAUGUACAUAUCUGUAUAAAAUUUGCAACUGUAUUUUUUAUGUGGACAAAGAAUCUCACCAUUUCCCUCUUGCUGCUCAGUUUUUAUUCUAACCAAUAUGAAGCUGAACUGAUCUGUUUUGUACUUUAACCAGUCUGAGCAAACUUAAUCUCUUCUAUAUUGUCCCUUUAUUUUCUUACCACAAUGACGUAUUUAUGGUUAUAAAUAUUGAUGAUAAGUAGGAACAGAUUUUUAGCUGCAAAUACUGAUAAUUGUAGAGUGUAAAAAUAAAUCAUUGUUUCUGG